GAACGAUGACUUCUGUGCUUGCACAGAAUGAUUAGUGGCGAACGGGUGAGUAACACGUGAGUAACCUGCCCUUAACUUCGGGAUAAGCCUGGGAAACCGGGUCUAAUACCGGAUACGACCUCCUGGCGCAUGCCAUGGWGGUGGAAAGCUUUAGCGGUUUUGGAUGGACUCGCGGCCUAUCAGCUUGUUGGUUGGGGUAAUGGCCCACCAAGGCGACGACGGGUAGCCGGCCUGAGAGGGUGACCGGCCACACUGGGACUGAGACACGGCCCAGACUCCUACGGGAGGCAGCAGUGGGGAAUAUUGCACAAUGGGCGAAAGCCUGAUGCAGCGACGCCGCGUGAGGGAUGACGGCCUUCGGGUUGUAAACCUCUUUCAGCAGGGAAGAAGCGAAAGUGACGGUACCUGCAGAAGAAGCGCCGGCUAACUACGUGCCAGCAGCCGCGGUAAUACGUAGGGCGCAAGCGUUAUCCGGAAUUAUUGGGCGUAAAGAGCUCGUAGGCGGUUUGUCGCGUCUGCUGUGAAAGCCCGGGGCUCAACCCCGGGUCUGCAGUGGGUACGGGCAGACUAGAGUGCAGUAGGGGAGACUGGAAUUCCUGGUGUAGCGGUGAAAUGCGCAGAUAUCAGGAGGAACACCGAUGGCGAAGGCAGGUCUCUGGGCUGUAACUGACGCUGAGGAGCGAAAGCAUGGGGAGCGAACAGGAUUAGAUACCCUGGUAGUCCAUGCCGUAAACGUUGGGCACUAGGUGUGGGGGACAUUCCACGUUUUCCGCGCCGUAGCUAACGCAUUAAGUGCCCCGCCNGGGGAGUACGGCCGCANGGCUAAAACUCAAAGGAAUUGACGGGGGCC
rnacentral:rRNA from 1 species